UACAGAGGUCUCGAGCGUUGUUCGGAUUCAUUGGGCGUAAAGGGUGCGUAGGUGGCGCUGUAAGUCGGGUGUGAAAUCCUGAGGCUUAACCUCGGAACUGCAUUCGAUACUGCGGCGCUUGAGGACUGGAGAGGAGACUGGAAUUCAUGGUGUAGCAGUGAAAUGCGUAGAGAUCAUGAGGAAGACCAGUGGCGAAGGCGGGUCUCUGGACAGUUCCUGACACUGAGACACGAAGGCCAGGGGAGCAAACGGG
rnacentral:rRNA from 1 species